rnacentral:rRNA from 1 species
GAUUUCUGGUGUGGUGCUGUCGGCCCGCCACAGUGAUGUGUGUGAGUGCCGGCUUGGCCAGGCCAUCCUUCUAGCGCGCCUGGUGCUGCUCUUCAUUGAGUUGGUGCCAGUGCACUAGAUCGUUUACUUUGAAAAAAUUAGAGUGUUUCAAGCAGGCUAUGUCGGCUAUGAAUACAUUAGCAUGGAAUAAUAAUUUAGGACUUCGGUUCUAUUUUGUUGGUUUCUAGGACUGAAGUAAUGAUUGAUAGGGAUAGUUGGGGGUGCUAGUAUUCAGCGGCCAGAGGUGAAAUUCUCGGAUUCGCUGAAGACUAACUUAUGCGAAAGCAUU